UUAUAGAUAGGGAGUUAUGUGGCAAAAUUGAACAUAGUUAAGAUACCUAUAUGGUGAGAUAUAACAGACACUUAUUUCAAAUCUAUGUGAAAACUCAGAACAUAUUGAUCCUAAACAGGGAUUAGAUACCCCUUUAUACAAUACACAAAACAUUUUGCAGAGCACUAAAACCUCUAAGGUCCAAACUUAAAAAACAUGGCGGUAACUUUGAUUCAGGGGRACUUACUAAAUAAUUGAUAACCACCAAGGUUAAGCAACCAUGAGUAAAUCUUGUAUGCCGUCGUCUUCAGAUGAAACUUAAAGUUUCAUCAAUAAGUUAUAACAAAAAGACAGAUCAAGGUGCAGACAAUCUUAUGGAUAUAGCGAGUUACAAUUUAUAAUUUUAACAGAGCAUAUUAUGAAUAAUAACGCAGAAGAUGGACUUGACAGUAAUUAUGAAAGUAAUAUUUAUUGAAGUAUUA
rnacentral:rRNA from 1 species